rnacentral:rRNA from 1 species
UACGUAGGGGGCAAGCGUUGUCCGGAUUUAUUGGGCGUAAAGAGCGUGUAGGCGGCCUGAAAGGUCAGCUGUGAAAACUCGAGGCUCAACCUCGAGACGUCGGUUGAAACCAUCUGGCUAGAGUCCGGAAGAGGAGAGUGGAAUUCCCGGUGUAGCGGUGAAAUGCGUAGAUAUCUGGAGGAACACCGGUGGCGAAGGCGGCAUCCUGGACCGGCAUUGACGCUGAGGAGCGAAAGCCAGGGGAGCAAACGGG